CGCGGCCUAUCAGCUUGUUGGUGAGGUAAUGGCUCACCAAGGCUUCGACGGGUAGCCGGCCUGAGAGGGUGACCGGCCACACUGGGACUGAGACACGGCCCAGACUCCUACGGGAGGCAGCAGUGGGGAAUAUUGGACAAUGGGCGGAAGCCUGAUCCAGCAACGCCGCGUGAGGGAUGACGGCCUUCGGGUUGUAAACCUCUUUCAGCACAGACGAAGCGCAAGUGACGGUAUGUGCAGAAGAAGGACCGGCCAACUACGUGCCAGCAGCCGCGGUAAUACGUAGGGUCCGAGCGUUGUCCGGAAUUAUUGGGCGUAAAGGGCUCGUAGGCGGUUUGUCGCGUCGGGAGUGAAAACUCAGGGCUUAACCCUGAGCCUGCUUCCGAUACGGGCAGACUAGAGGUAUGCAGGGGAGAACGGAAUUCCUGGUGUAGCGGUGAAAUGCGCAGAUAUCAGGAGGAACACCGGUGGCGAAGGCGGUUCUCUGGGCAUUACCUGACGAUGAGGAGCGAAAGUGUGGGGAGCGAACAGGAUUAGAUACCCUGGUAGUCCACACCGUAAACGUUGGGCGCUAGGUGUAGACUCAUUCCACGAGUUCCGUGCCGCAGCUAACGCUUUAUGCCCCCCGCCUGGGGAGUACGG
rnacentral:rRNA from 1 species